rnacentral:ncRNA from 1 species
AAGUUUCAUCCACGGAGGGUGAGCCAGGGCCUAAGAUCAGGCCGAAAGGCGUAGUCGAUGGACAACAGGUUAAUAUUCCUAUACUACCCCUUUUUGGUCUCGAGGGAUGGAGGAGGCUAGGUUAGCUGAAAGAUGGUUAUCGGUUCAAGGAUGCAAGGUGACCCUUCUUUUUUCAAGGUAAGAAGGGGUAGAGAAAAUUCCUCGAGCCAAUGUCCGAGUACCAAGCGCUACAGCACUGAAGUAACCCAUGCCAUACUCCCAAGAAAAGAUCGAACGACCUUUAACAAAUGGGUACCUAUACCCGAAACUGACACAGGUAGGUAGGUAGAGAAUACCUAGGGGCGCGAGACAACUAUCUCUAAGGAACUCAACAAAAUAGCCUCGUAACUUCGGGAGAAGGGGUGCCUCCUCAGGAGGUCACAGUGACCAGGCCCGGGUGACUGUUUACCAAAAACACAGGUCUCCGCAAAGUCGUAAGACCAUGUAUGGGGGUUGAUGCCUACCUAGUGCUGGAAGGUUAAGGAGGUUGGUGACCUGAUGACGGGGAAGCCAGCGACCGAAGCCCUGGUGAACGGUGACCGUAACUAUAACAGUCCUAAGGUAGCGAAAUUCCUUUUUGGGUAAGUUUCGACCCGCACGAAAGGCGUAACGAUAUGGGCACUGUCUCGGAGAGAGACUUGGUGAAAUAGACAUGU